rnacentral:rRNA from 1 species
UACGGGAGUGGCAAGCGUUAUCCGGAAUUAUUGGGCGUAAAGCGUCCGCAGGCGGUCUUGUAAGUCUGUUGUUAAAGCGUGGAGCUUAACUCCAUUUGAGCAAUGGAAACUGCAAGACUAGAGUGUGGUAGGGGCAGAGGGAAUUCCCGGUGUAGCGGUGAAAUGCGUAGAUAUCGGGAAGAACACCAGUGGCGAAGGCGCUCUGCUGGGCCAUAACUGACGCUCAUGGACGAAAGCCAGGGGGGCGAAAGGGAUUAGAUACCCCUGUAGUCCUGGCCGUAAACGAUGAACACUAGGUGUCGGGGGAAUCGACCCCCUCGGUGUCGUAGCCAACGCGUUAAGUGUUCCGCCUGGGGAGUACGCACGCAAGUGUGAAACUCAAAGGAAUUGACGGGGGCCCGCACAAGCGGUGGAGUAUGUGGUUUAAUUCGAUGCAACGCGAAGAACCUUACCAGGGUUUGACAUCCUGCGAAUCCCUUGGAAACGAGGGAGUGCCUUCGGGAGCGCAGUGACAGGUGGUGCAUGGCUGUCGUCAGCUCGUGUCGUGAGAUGUUGGGUUAAGUCCCGCAACGAGCGCAACCCACGUCGUUAGUUGCCAGCAUUCAGUUGGGCACUCUAGCGAGACCGCCGGUGAUAAACCGGAGGAAGGUGUGGAUGACGUCAAGUCAUCAUGCCCCUUACAUCCUGGGCUACACACGUACUACAAUGCUACGGACAAAGGGCAGCAAACUCGCGAGAGCUAGCAAAUCCCAUAAACCGUGGCUCAGUUCAGAUCGUAGGCUGCAACUCGCCUACGUGAAGGAGGAAUCGCUAGUAAUCGCAGGUCAGCAUACUGCGGUGAAUACGUUCCCGGGCCU